rnacentral:lncRNA from 1 species
CGACGACGUGUCGUGAAGGUCAAGCAAAAGGUUCAUGCCAAUGGACCAAAAGUGGUGAAGGAUGAAUGCGAGUAGGCUUGGACCGAUGGACCUGAGGAGUCCGGGCGGAGUCAUAGGCGGUCCACACGGUGCACGGAAGAGCAAGAGAACAUGACGGGAUGGAGACGGCAUCGGUCGAGUCAAGUGGGACGAAGGCCAGUCAAGUAGGCAGCCCGGAAGCCGGGAGCAAAAGACUUGGAGGCAUCAAAGGCUUGGUAGAGACCGAACACAUGUCGACAUCGAGGAGGUCGCAUGGCGGCCAAGUGGAGAUGGA